CACAUGCAAGUCGAGGGGCAUCAGGAACAUUGCUUGCUUUCUUUGCUGGCGACCGGCGCACGGGUGAGUAACACGUAUCCAACCUGCCCUUUACUCGGGGAUAGCCUUUCGAAAGAAAGAUUAAUACCCGAUGGCAUAAUGAUUCCGCAUGGUUUCAUUAUUAAAGGAUUCCGGUAAAGGAUGGGGAUGCGUUCCAUUAGGUUGUUGGUGAGGUAACGGCUCACCAAGCCUUCGAUGGAUAGGGGUUCUGAGAGGAAGGUCCCCCACAUUGGAACUGAGACACGGUCCAAACUCCUACGGGAGGCAGCAGUGAGGAAUAUUGGUCAAUGGGCGCUAGCCUGAACCAGCCAAGUAGCGUGAAGGAUGAAGGCUCUAUGGGUCGUAAACUUCUUUUAUAUAAGAAUAAAGUGCAGUAUGUAUACUGUUUUGUAUGUAUUAUAUGAAUAAGGAUCGGCUAACUCCGUGCCAGCAGCCGCGGUAAUACGGAGGAUCCGAGCGUUAUCCGGAUUUAUUGGGUUUAAAGGGAGCGUAGGUGGACUGGUAAGUCAGUUGUGAAAGUUUGCGGCUCAACCGUAAAAUUGCAGUUGAUACUGUCAGUCUUGAGUACAGUAGAGGUGGGCGGAAUUCGUGGUGUAGCGGUGAAAUGCUUAGAUAUCACGAAGAACUCCGAUUGCGAAGGCAGCUCACUGGACUGCAACUGACACUGAUGCUCGAAAGUGUGGGUAUCAAACAGGAUUAGAUACCCUGGUAGUCCACACAGUAAACGAUGAAUACUCGCUGUUUGCGAUAUACAGUAAGCGG
rnacentral:rRNA from 1 species